rnacentral:rRNA from 1 species
AUUGAACGCUGGCGGCAGGCUUACCACAUGCAAGUCGAGCGAGCGGCGGACGGGUGCGUAAUGUCUGGGAAACUGCCUGAUGGAGGGGGAUAACUACUGGAAACGGUAGCUAAUACCGCAUACCAUCAGAUGUGCCCCGAUGGGAUUAGCGAGUAGGUGGGGUAAUGGCUCACCUAGGCGACGAUCCCUAGCUGGUCUGAGAGGAUGACCAGCCAAACUGGAACUUAGACACGGUCCAGACUACUACGGGAGUCAGCAGGGGUGAAUAUUGCACAAUGGGCGCAAGCCUGAUGCAGCCAUGCCGCGUGUAUGAAGAAGGCCUUCGCGUUGUAAAGCACUUUCAGCGAGGAGGCGUUACUCGCAGAAGAAGCACCGGCUAACUCCGUGCCAGCAGCCGCGGUAAUAC